rfam:Gemmatimonadetes bacterium SCN 70-22 ABS52_C0043, whole genome shotgun sequence.
GGUCGCGUAGCUCAGCUGGUUAGAGCGCUGGUCUCACAUACCAGAGGUCCGGGGUUCGAGUCCCUGCGCGACCA